rnacentral:lncRNA from 1 species
AGGGAUUUUGGGACCCAAAUCCCCUCCCCCAAUUCCUCACUGACACCAAUCCCAAAUUUUUUUUUUGCCGGAAAAUUCCAAAAGGGGUGGGGGAGGGGAUUUAGGAUCGACCCCUCCCCCCCUCUCUUUAUUGGGGUGACAUCGAGGGGAGACAGAAUUCCAGAGGGGGGGGAAAAAAACGGGAAUUUUGGGUGGAUUUUAAGGGAAUUUUGGGGAAUUUGGGGUGGAUUUUAAGGGAAUUUUCAGUGGAUUUGGGGUGGAAUUUUAAGGGGAUUUUGGGGGGAAUUCCAGGGAAAAUUUCAAGGAAUUUCAAGGGGAUUUUGGCGUUGGGUUUGGGGGGAAUUCCCAGGAUUUGGGGGGAAUUCCCAGGAUUUGGGGCUGAAUUUGGGGGGAAUUCCUGGGAUUUGGGGCAGGAUCUGGGGACGAUUCCCAGGAUUUGGGGCAGG